rnacentral:rRNA from 1 species
UACGGAGGGGGCGAGCGUUAUUCGGAAUUAUUGGGCGUAAAGGGCGCGUAGGCGGCCUGUUAAGUCGAACGUGAAAUCCCCGGGCUCAACCCGGGAACUGCGUCCGAUACUGGCAGGCUUGAAUUCGGGAGAGGGAUGUGGAAUUCCAGGUGUAGCGGUGAAAUGCGUAGAUAUCUGGAGGAACACCGGUGGCGAAGGCGGCAUCCUGGACCGCAACUGACACUCAGGGACGAAAGCUAGGGGAGCGAAUGGG